rnacentral:tRNA from 1 species
GGCCUGGUAGCUCAGUUGGUUAGAGCGCUGCCCUGUCACGGCAGAGGUCGAGGGUUCGAGCCCCUUCCGGGUCGCCA